UACGAGUGCUCCAAGCGUUAUCCGGAAUCAUUGGGCGUAAAGGGUGUGUAGGCGGUUGUGUUAGUCUUCUGUUAAAUUCUUCGGCUUAACCGGGGGCAUGCAGGGGAAACGGCACAACUAGAGGAUGCGAGAGGUAUAUGGAACUCAUGGAGUAGGGGUGAAAUCCGUUGAUAUCAUGGGGAACACCAAAAGCGAAGGCAAUAUACUGGCGCACUCCUGACGCUGAGACACGAAAGCGUAGGUAGCGAAUGGG
rnacentral:rRNA from 1 species